rnacentral:rRNA from 1 species
UAGUCCACGCCGUAAACGAUGAGUGCUAGCUGUUGGGUCUUUGGACUCAGUGGCGACGCUAACGCAUUAAGCACUCCGCCUGGGGAGUACGGUCGCAAGAUUAAAACUCAAAGGAAUUGACGGGGACCCGCACAAGCGGUGGAGCAUGUGGUUUAAUUCGAGGCAACGCGAAGAACCUUACCAGACCUUGACAUGCCUCUCGCGGAUUUCAGAGAUGAUUUCCUUCAGUUCGGCUGGAGAGUGCACAGGUGCUGCAUGGCUGUCGUCAGCUCGUGUCGUGAGAUGUUGGGUUAAGUCCCGCAACGAGCGCAACCCUCAUUUUUAGUUACCAUCAUUUAGUUGGGUACUCUAGAGAAACUGCCGGGGUCAACCCGGAGGAAGGUGGGGAUGACGUCAAGUCUUCAUGGCCCUUACGUGUAGGGCUAGAAACGUGUUACAAUGGGAGUUACAGUGGGCAGCAACGUCGCGAGGCGAAGCAAAUCCCUAAAAGCUCUCUCAGUUCGGAUAGGACU